rnacentral:rRNA from 1 species
GAUGAACGCUGGCGGCGUGCCUAAUACAUGCAAGUCGAGCGAACAGACGAGGAUCUUGCUCCUCUGACGUUAGCCGCGGACGGGUGAGUAACACGUGGAUCACCUCCCUAUAAGACUGGGAUAACUUCGGGACACCGGAUCUAAUACCUUAUAAUCUAUUGAACCGCAUUGUUCAAUGGUGAAAUACGGUUUUUCUGUCUCUUAUCGAUGGUUCCGCGCCGCAUUAGCUAGUUGUUACGGUAACGGCUUACCAAGGCAACGAUGCGUAGCCGAAAUGAGAGGGUGAUCGGCCACACUGGAAGUGAGACACGGUACAGACUGAUACGGAAGGCAGCAGUAGGGAAUCUUCAGCAAGGGGCGAAAGAAUGACGGAGAAACGCCGAGUGAGUGAUGAAGGUCUUCGGAUCGUAAAACUCUGUUAUUAGGGAAGAAAAAAUGUGUAAGUAACUAUGAACGUCUUGAAGGUAAAUAAUCAGAAAGCCACGGCUAAAUAAGUG